CCUACGGGUGGCAGCAGUGAGGAAUAUUGGUCAAUGGCCGGAAGGCUGAACCAGCCAUGCCGCGUGAAGGUCAGUGCCCUAUGGGCGUUAAACUUCUUUUGUGCGGGAGCAAUAAUGGUCACGUGUGGCCAGACGAGAGUACCGUACGAAUAAGCAUCGGCUAACUCCGUGCCAGCAGCCGCGGGAAUACGGGGGAUGCAAGCGUUAUCCGGAUUUAUUGGGUUUAAAGGGUGCGUAUGCGGUGAGGUAAGGCAGCGGGGAAAUGCCCCCGCUCAACGGGGUGAAGUGCCAUUGAUACUGCCUGGCUGGAGUGCGGAUGCCGUGGGCGGAAUGUGUGGUGUAGCGGUGAAAUGCAUAGAUAUCACACAGAACACCGAUUGCGAAGGCAUCUCACGAAUCCGCGAUUGACGCUGAGGCACGAAAGCGUGGGUAUCAAACAGGAUUAGAUACCCCAGUAGUC
rnacentral:rRNA from 1 species